UACGUAGGCAGCGAGCGUUGUUCGGAGUUACUGGGCGUAAAGGGUGUGUAGGCGGUUGGUUAAGUUUGGUGUGAAAUCUCCCGGCUCAACUGGGAGGGUGCGCCGAAUACUGAAUGACUUGGAGUGCGGGAGAGGAAAGUGGAAUUCCUGGUGUAGCGGUGAAAUGCGUAGAUAUCAGGAGGAACACCGGUGGUGUAGACGGCUUUCUGGACCGUAACUGACGCUGAGACACGAAAGCGUGGGUAGCAAACAGG
rnacentral:rRNA from 1 species